rnacentral:sRNA from 1 species
CUGGCAGUAAUAGAAAGUGAAGUCCCUUUUUUGUAUCCACAGGAAAGGUAUAGUUGGACCACUUCAUUGUGAGCCAUCAGUGACCUAGAGGGACUUUUUUUCCUUCUUUUAGAGACAGAAUGUUCGUUCUCCAUAGCAGCUCAUUCCUGGUCCUCU